AUCUCUGUAGAGUCUGCAUAUCAAUAAGCGGAGGAAAAGAAACUAACUAGGAUUCCCUAGUAACGGCGAGUGAAGCGGGAAGAGCUCAAAUUUGAAAUCUUAAAGGUUUUCCCUUGACGAAUUGUAGUUUAAAGAAGUGUUUUCUGUUGAGGUUUUGGUAAAAGUUCUUUGGAAUAGGACAUCAUAGAGGGUGAGAAUCCCGUAUUUGACCAUUACUUUCAGCGUUGUGAUACACUUUCAAAGAGUCGGAUUGUUUGGGAAUGCAGUCCAAAAUGGGUGGUAAAUUUCAUCUAAAGCUAAAUAUUGGCGAGAGACCGAUAGCGAACAAGUACCGUGAGGGAAAGAUGAAAAGAACUUUGAAAAGAGAGUUAAACAGUACGUGAAAUUGUCAAAAGGGAAGCGUUUGACACCAGUGUUGUUUUUCUGAAAAUCAAUUAAAGAACUGUUUAUGCUAAGUUGUUUAGACUUUAUCAGCUAACUGUUUAGUUUUGAGCUUUUCUUUAAUGCACUUUUCAGUUAACAAGUCAACAUCAAUUUCUUUUGCUGUAAAAAAGCUUGAGGAAGGUGGCUUGAGAUUCGUCUUAAGUGUUUAUAGCCUCUUGCCUAUGCAGUCGGAGAGAUUGAGGUCUGCAGCGUAGAUCCUUCGGGGCUAAAUGCAUUUGUGCUAAGUUAUAGCAUUUUAUAGACAACUUGUUGACUACGAUUUGUCUUGUAGCUUACCCGCUUAUGUUAUUUUACCUACGCUUAGGAUGUUGACGAUCAGCUGAGCGCG
rnacentral:rRNA from 1 species